GACGAACGCUGGCGGCGUGCCUAACACAUGCAAGUCGAACGAAGCUUGACGAACGAUUCUUCGGAUGAAUUCUGAUAUGACUGAGUGGCGGACGGGUGAGUAACGCGUGAGCAACCUGCCCUUCAGAGGGGGAUAGUGUCUGGAAACGGACAGUAAUACCGCAUAAUGUACAUUGAUGGCAUCUUCGAUGUACCAAAGCUUUUGCGCUGAAGGAUGGGCUCGCGUCUGAUUAGAUAGUUGGUGGGGUAAUGGCUACCAAGUCGACGAUCAGUAGCCGGACUGAGCCAUGAUCAAACUCGUGUCUAACAG
rnacentral:rRNA from 1 species